CACGUAGGGGGCGAGCGUUGUCCGGAUUUAUUGGGCGUAAAGAGCUCGUAGGUGGUUCGGUAAGUCGGGUGUGAAAACUCUGGGCUCAACUCAGAGACUCCACCUGAUACUGCCGUGACUUGAGUCUGGUAGGGGAGUGUGGAAUUUCCGGUGUAGCGGUGAAAUGCGCAGAUAUCGGAAGGAACACCAGUGGCGAAGGCGGCACUCUGGGCCAGUACUGACACUGAGGAGCGAAAGCGUGGGUAGCGAACAGG
rnacentral:rRNA from 1 species